UAGAUGACUGGUCCUUCCUGCAGCCAUUGGGCUAGAGAUCUGGACAGAGGGCAGACUCCCUCUAGUAUAGAGGGUCAGGCUAUCACCCAGACCCUCUGGGCCCUUUCCCUGAAGAAAUGGUUUUCCCUAAACUAUCGGAAUAAGAAGAAAUGGUUUUCCCUAAACUAUCGGAAUAAGUUCCUAGUGCUAGCCUCUAAGGAAGACUCCUCACAAAAGAUGGUGGACUAGAAAUCAGAAAAAAAUUGAAAAUUCUUUUUCUAAGCCAGACACUCGCAGGCUGGAUGACCUCAAGCAGUUCUCUCAUCCUUUGUCUUCCUCUGACAGUCUGGAGGAGGCUGCCUCGCAUAGGCUGGAACUGCAUGACUGAGGAGAGAGAAGGGUUAACACAAGGAUACGAGUCCCCCUUCGCCCCAGACAGGAUUCCCCCUUACUCACUGGAACAGGGGGCUGGUUUUUCUAGUGAUGGUGUCAGGGGCUGAGGCCCCAGCCAGAAUCCCCCGUGGAGGGGCCCACUGGUGAGACUUCAAGAAUCUGGAGGACCUCCAGGGAGGAGCUAAGGAGGCCAGAAAAUGGGAUAGGCACCCCUGCCAGAACCGGGGGACCUCACGCUGUUGUGUGGGGAUCUAGUGAAGAUUCCUGGCCUUGGAAGGAAUUCCUGUACAUUUCAGGGCUUCCCCGACUCCCUCCACUCCCCCUAGAGCAAACCCUUCCUCUCUGUCCCCCAGGAAGGGAAAGCUCGAGACCUGAGCGGCCCGGGCGUAGAAAAGGCGUCCUGGCGGCUCACUUUAGCACCAGAGUUCAGAGUCAAAGCCAGUGAUUUACAGAGACCAAGGAGACCAAGCCAGAGACAUGCGGAAGCAAAGGGAUAAUAAAAAUCAAAAUAUUUA